rnacentral:rRNA from 1 species
UUUUUGAAAGAAGAAGAACCUUACCAGGUUUUAACAUCUUAGGACAACCUUAGAGAUAGGGUUCUCCUUUGGGGGACAGAGUGACAGGUGGUGCAUGGUUGUCGUCAGCUCGUGUGGUGAGAUGUUGGGUUAAGUCCCGCAACGAGCGCACCCCUUGAUUUUAGUUGCCAGCAUUUAGUUGGGCACUCUAAGGUGACUGCCGGUGACAAACCGGAGGAAGGUGGGGAUGACGUCAAAUCAUCAUGCCCCUUAUGACCUGGGCUACACACGUGCUACAAUGGACAGAACACAGGGCUGCGAGACCGCGAGGUUUAGCCAAUCCCACAAAUCUGUUCUCAGUUCGGAUCGCAGUCUGCAACUCUACUGCGUGAAGCUGGAAUCGCUAGUAAUCUCGGAUCUGCAUGCCGCGGUGAAUACGUUCUCGGGUCUUGUACACACGCACACA